UAGAAAAUUUCAGCCCUCAGACUGUGUGAAAGCUCAGGUCCUGAGGACUCGGGAGGUGUGGAGGCUUUGGAAAGUCUUGGAACUGAGGGUUCCACCCUCCAGCUCAAAGGCUGAAGUCCAACCUCCUGAGAAAAACGGUCGAGUCGAGACUCGAGUUAAAAAAAAACUCGAAAAUGGCAAAAAAUAGAUGAUAAAUGCGCAAAAAAAAGAUAAUUUAGUAUCUGAGCGAGUAGCUCAGGGGGAUAAGAGGAGAGACUACAGAGCGGAGGGUCGCAGGUUCAAGACCCACCACCGGCCUUUUUCUUUCUUUGUCUUUGUCAGAAUUUUGAGAAAAUUUAAGAAGUGUCUGGUCUUGAACCGGCGACCUGCAGCUCCAUAGGCAAAUCCUUAACUCACUGAGCUACAGAUCAGAUAAAAAGAAAUAAAUUCGUCCUCCCUUUGACAUCGUAGUUCCUGAAGUGACCACAUGGGUGGAGCCAAGGCGGAGUCUGGGUGGAGUCAGGGCGGAGAGUAGGCGGGGAGGUGGGUGGCGGCCUCCCCCCUCUACUCCCCCACCUCUCCCCACCACCCACCACACCUUCCCCCGCCCGACGAGUUCUUCGAGUCUCCACGAGUUCUUCGAGUCUCCACGGGUUUUCCCCGAGUUUCUGGAGUUUCCACCAGGUCGGAGGCAGAACAAGUUGUCAUGAAGAGGUCUUGAAGUCGGUCAGGAUGGACUGACUUUUUACAGCGACUAGAAGGAAGACGACUAGAAGAGCAGGUCUUUAACCACCAUCCAUAAAAUCCCUGGAGUCGCUCCACAGAAAUAAAGGGACGUCAACUUUUAUUAAACUCCAGCCAGAUGUUCAACUUGAUAUCUUUGACAUUUUUAGCACCACAAACCUUUAGUAUCACACUUUAUUAUCAUUUAUUAGGACUUUAAUGGAAUCCACCAGCAGAUUUAGUUUUUGUUGACAAACUUUAUUCUUGUCGUCGUGGGACUGCAGUAUUUAAAACGCUUCCUUCUAUUUGACCUCGUGUUUAUUAGUUUUAGUGGAGAAAGUUAUUUUAGUUGUCCAUUAGUCUCUUAAAAACUAAAUAAUAAAUUGGAUUAGUCAAGAGGUUAAAAUUUCUUACUUUGUCAUAUUUUAAAUAUGACAAAAAAUAUAAAAAUAAAGCGUCUUGAGACAAUUUGACCUGUAAUUGGCGUUAUAUAAAUAAAAUUGAAUUAAAACUGUAUGUAUCUUGUAAUGUUGGAGUAAUUCAGCCAUAUAUGUUGAAAAACACAUUUUCUUUGUCCAUUAAUCUGUUGUUUUCUCCAAUAAUUCAUUUCUUCUUUUGGUUUAUAAAAUGUCAAACCCAAAUAUAUUCAGUUUACUGUCAUAAAAACCAAAAAGAUUUACAUUCAUGAUGCAGGAAUCAGACAGUUUUUCACUUUUUAUCUUAGUUUAGCCAGAAAGAUAGUUGAUAAUGUGUGAAUUGCUGCAACUUGUGAGCCGUAGAAGGUUUUAAUCUUUGGGGCCGAGUAUCAGAAAACAUUUAGAAACCAACAUCAACAAAACACUCAACAAAGAUUUGAACAUCAUUAAAGGGAAAUCCAACUUUUGCAUGACAAUGUCUAAUUAAAGGACAUUUAUUUCCAAUGUAAAUGUGUGAUAUUCAUCCUCUGGAGCUUUCUCUUCACAUCGUCUUCCACCUGGACUGGUUUGGUCGGGAGCAUGUGCAACAAACAUUUGAAAAACUGCACUUUAACAUCAAUGAAUGACACUGAAGUUUAAUCUCUACAUAAAUGAGACUGAGUCUGGAUGUGCUGCUCUGUCAUUAACUCCUAAGUUUAGAGAAAGUUAGAACAAAAGAGGACAGUUCAGAUAAGACUUGAGAAUGAGCUUAUUCUGAACAAACAUCUCAGACUUUCUGAGCUUCAGCACCUACAGCAAGAUAUUUUAACAACAAGCAACUCAAGAGAUCCAGAAGUUGGAGAGAGUUAGCUUUAGCUGAGCCAAAGAACAUGUGGGACGCUAACCUAGCAAACAUUUCAGACUUUUCUCUGUGAAUUCUGAGAAAUAAUUCCCUAUUUAAUGACAGAGCUACACAUCUUAACUCAGUCUCAUUAAAACAGACUCUAAUUCAGUGUCAUCCAUCCAUAUUAAAGUGCAGUUACCCAAAAUGUUUGUUGCAUGUGCUCCAACAAAACCUGUCCAGGUAGAAGGCCACUUUGACAAACAGGAAGUGGAAGAUUCCAAGCAGAUUUAUAGAAGGGGGAACCGGACUGUACUAAGUGUGGUGGAGAAUAGAGGGGUGUUUUGUGGGUUUUUAAGGCUGAUAAUGAUUAUUAGUGAAACAUUUGGAGUAUAUUCAUUUGCAGUAAAUGAAAGUAUUUAUAAUGUUGGAGUUAAACUUCGAAGAACACAAACUCUAACAGAAAACUUUGUUGAUACGUUUUUGUUUUGUUUACAGAUGUUAAGUUAAAGGAGUUUUAUUCGUGACGUAUAACCAAUCAAAUCACUCCAGAAGAUAGAACGACCACAGGCCUCCGUUGACUCGUCCCGCCUGCCGUCUCUGGAGCUGAAGCUGGAUUGGAACAGACCAAAGUACAGUCCAAUCAUGAUGCCAGCUGCCUCUCAAAAGGUUCCUUCAUCUGGCAGCACUUCUUCUGAGGGGAAGCUGAGCUGGCCCGGCAGAACUUUGGAGGUGUGUUACAGUGGUUGGUGGAUCUGUGGGGAGAUAGAGAGGGACCUUUGAAUUGUUCAGAAAGGAAAACAGGGAACCCAUUGGUAGUUUUAGUUUAGGGUGCUACUGCGGUGUGUUUUUGGGUUUAAAGAGGUGAAGAGGAAGAGUUUUUUUUCGUAUUGAUUAUCUUUUACUUUGUUCCUGGUUGGAAUGCCCAUCAAUGUCAACGUGAAGUUCACUUUCAGUUCUGUUUUAUUUAUUUUUAUUUUAAUAACACCCAUUUGCUUUUAAGCCCCUCACAUGUUGUGUUGUUGUAAACUUACUCUUUCAAAUAAAUACUCGUCUAACCCUCUGGAAA